GUUGGCUUUUGCUGCCUUCUUGAAUAUUUUGGCGUGGCGCAGUCGUUUGUGUAUUGCUAUAUUGCAACGUUGUUUUUGAAAAUUCUAUAAAAAUCGAAUUGUGCGAGGCAUCUUAAAAAGGCCAUGAGCUCCAAGUGUGCCGGUUGCACGAAGACGGUCUAUCCCGUGGAACAGUUGAAAUGUCUAGAUCAGGUAAUUUGCUUUUACAUGAAUAUAUCACGCUGUAAACAUGACUCGUACCGCGCUACAUUUUGCUUUCUUAUUGCAUCAACUACUUCCUUCUAUGUAACAAAUUACACAGGUUUUAACAUUCACAUGGUAUUUUUCAUUAGAUCUGGCAUAAAAAAUGUUUCAAAUGUGCUGUCUGUGGCAUGACACUCACAAUGAAAAAUUAUAAGGGAUACGAGAAAAAGCCAUAUUGUAGCCCGUGAGUAUAUUUAUGAAUUUCUCUGUAUUAAU